UCGCUUGCCAGGGAACUACGAGCCCCAGCUUAAAACCCAAAGGACUUGGCGGUGCUUUAGACCCCCCUAGAGGAGCCUGUUCUAGAACCGAUAACCCCCGUUAAACCUCACCCCCUCUUGUUCUCCCCGCCUAUAUACCGCCGUCGUCAGCUUACCCUGUGAAGGACUAAUAGUGAGCAUAAUUGGUACAACCUAAAACGUCAGGUCGAGGUGUAGCGUAUGAGGGGGGAAGAAAUGGGCUACAUUCACUGGCCCAGUGAAAACGAACGAUGCUUUGAAACACCUAUCCGAAGGAGGAUUUAGCAGUAAGAGGGAAAUAGAGUGCCCCUC
rnacentral:rRNA from 1 species